GAUGUGGCCGGGGCGAACCUGAUGCAGCCACGCCGCGUGAAUGAAGAAGGGCCUUCGGGUUGUAAAGCUCUUUUUUCAGGGAGGAAGGUGUUGUGGUUAAUAACCUUUUCUACUGACCUUUCCCUUACAAAAAGCCCCCGCUUACUUCAUGCCCCCGCCGCUAUAAUAAAGACCCCUCCC
rnacentral:rRNA from 1 species